rnacentral:rRNA from 1 species
GGACGAACGCUGGCGGCGUGCCUAACACAUGCAAGUCGAGCGGAGGCGGAGGAUAGCCAGCGAUGGGAAGGAGACUGCUUUAGCGGCGAACGGGUGAGUAACACGUGGGCAAUCUGCCCUCUGGAGCGGGAUAACAGACCGAAAGGCCUGCUAAUACCGCAUGAGGCCGAACUUUCGCAUGGGAGAUCGGUCAAAGGGGAAACCCGCCGGAGGAGGAGCCCGCGUCCCAUUAGCUAGUUGGCGGUGUAACGGACCACCAAGGCGAUGAUGGGUAGCCGGCCUGAGAGGGUGAACGGCCACAUUGGGACUGAGACACGGCCCAGACUCCUACGGGGGGCAGCAGUGAGGGAUUUUCGGCAAUGGGCGAAAGCCCUGGCCGAGCGACGCCGCGUGAGCGAAGAAGGCCUUCGGGUCGUAAAGCUCUGUCUAGGGGGAAGAGAGAGGACGGUACCCCUGGAGGAAGCCACGGCUAACUACGUGCCAGCCGCGGC